rnacentral:rRNA from 1 species
UACGGAGAGGACUAGCGUUGUUCGGAAUUACUGGGCGUAAAGCGCACGUAGGCGGAUUUGUAAGUCAGGGGUGAAAUCCCGGGGCUCAACCUCGGAACUGCCUUUGAUACUGCAAAUCUCGAGUCCGGAAGAGGUGAGUGGAAUUCCUAGUGUAGAGGUGAAAAUUCGUAGAUAUUAGGAAGAACACCAGUGGCGAAAGGCGGCUCACUGGUCCGGUACUGACGCUGAGGUGCGAAAGCGUGGGGAGCAACAGGGAUUAAGAAACCCUUGU